CAGAGUGAAAAGAAAGGCAUCGAAACAGUGUACACAUCUGGAACUGCUGGAUGGCCUCGUGGGGAGACCUCUUAUACCCAGGGGGAGGAGUUAGAGCUCACAACUCUCUGAAGUAGAUUAGCUGAGAGCUGGACACUGGUUCAUGGUCACUCCGUGAAAUUCAUGGCAGGAUGGAGA